UAGGGAAUCUUCCGCAAUGGGCGAAAGCUUGACGGAGCAACGCCGCGUGAGUGAUGAAGGUCUUCGGAUCGUAAAACUCUGUUAUUAGGGAAGAACAAAUGUGUAAGUAACUAUGCACGUCUUGACGGUACCUAAUCAGAAAGCCACGGCUAACUACGUGCCAGCAGCCGCGGUAAUACGUAGGUGGCAAGCGUUAUCCGGAAUUAUUGGGCGUAAAGCGCGCGUAGGCGGUUUUUUAAGUCUGAUGUGAAAGCCCACGGCUCAACCGUGGAGGGUCAUUGGAAACUGGAAAACUUGAGUGCAGAAGAGGAAAGUGGAAUUCCAUGUGUAGCGGUGAAAUGCGCAGAGAUAUGGAGGAACACCAGCGGCGAAGGCGACUUUCUGGUCUGUAACUGACGCUGAUGUGCGAAAGCGUGGGGAUCAAACAGG
rnacentral:rRNA from 1 species